ensembl:lncRNA
GGGUCAGAGAUGAGGAUACGGGCUGCCUCAUGGCAGAAUAACAGACUUUUCUCUAGGGUGUUUAUUUUUCACUCUCCAGUUCAGACAUGGUGACUGCCAUUAUGUGUGAGACACUGCUGGGGAACUUGCCUGCUUUAAAAUGCCUUAGUCACAGUCACAGUCAGAGCGAUCCUCAGUUUGAAGUUUUCAUUGUGUAGAUUUAUGUUGUUUCCUGAGACCAGGGGCAAUGCAGAUACUUCCAUUCAUUACAGGGACAUCUGCCGAGCCGGGGCAAUCUCUCAAAUACAGACAGCACGGCUAUUUUACACUAAUUUAUUCUAAUGCUGCCAAUCAUGCCAUUUGUAAGUAUGGAAGGAAAGAAAGAAAGAACGAAAGAAAGUGAGAAAAAGAAAAAGAGAUGGAAAGGAAGGAAAGCAAGAAAGCAAGAUAACGAAAAAAAGAAGGGAGAGGAAGAAAGCAAAAAAAAAGCAAAAAAGGGAAAAGAAAGUAAGAAAAAUAAAAAAAGAUGGAAAAGAUGAAAAGCAAAAAGAAUGAGAAAGAAUGAGAGAUAUACAGACGGAGGAAGAAAGAAGGUAAGAAAGCGAGAAAAAAGAGAGAGAAGAGAAGAAAGAAAGAAAGAAAGAAAGAAAGAAAGAAAGAAAGAAAGAAAGAAAUACAGACAAAGAAAGAAAGAAAGUGAGAAAAAGAAAAAGAGAUGGAAAGGAAUGAAAGCGAGAAAAAACCAAGAGAGAGAGAAAGAAAGAAAAAAGUAAACAAGGAAAAGCAAAAAAGGGAAAAGGAUGAAAGAAUGUUAGAAUAAAAGAUGGAAAAGAUGAAAGCAAGAAGAAUGAGAAAGAAAGAGAGCAAUACAGACAAAGAAAGAAAGAAAGAAAAUGAGAAAAAGAAAACGAGUUGGAAAGGAAGGACAGCAAGAAAGCCGGUGGGCGCUACACCACAGACAUCUCUCCCUGCAGUUCUCACCUUCAGUGGUGUCCCACUGAAGCUAAGCAGGUUGAGCCUGGCCAGUACCAGGAUGGGAGACCUUCUGGGGAAAACUAAGUUUGCUGCUGGAAUUGGUGUUAGUGAGGCCAGCAGGGGGCGCUCACCCUGUGGUGUGUGUGGGGCCUAAUGCCCUAGUAUAGUGACAGGGACGCUAUACUAUAAAAACAGCACCGUCCUUCAGAUGAGACUUUAAACCAAUAUCCUGACUCUCUGUGGUGGUUAAAAAUGCCAGAACACUUAUAGUAAAAGAGUCAGGGUAUAACCCUGGUGAAGUUGGCCCUUCUCUAAUAAUCCGCAUCUCUGAAUCUGCUACAUCACUCUCUCUUCUCCACUAAUAUCUGGU